rnacentral:rRNA from 1 species
UACGUAGGGUGCAAGCGUUGUCCGGAAUUAUUGGGCGUAAAGAGCUCGUAGGCGGUCUGUCGCGUCGGAUGUGAAAAUCCAGGGCUCAACCCUGGACCUGCAUUCGAUACGGGCAGACUAGAGUUCGGCAGGGGAGACUGGAAUUCCUGGUGUAGCGGUGAAAUGCGCAGAUAUCAGGAGGAACACCGGUGGCGAAGGCGGUUCUCUGGGCAUUACCUGACGCUGAGGAGCGAAAGUGUGGGGAGCGAACAGG